rnacentral:tRNA from 1 species
GGCCAGUUAGCUCAAUCUGUUAGAGCGGGUGCUGGUAACGCCAAGGUCGCGGGUUCAAUCCCCGUUCAGUCCC